UUUCGAUCCUUCAAUUUCUUCGCAAACCAAAUCGAGCGUUAGUCGUCUCUAGAUUAGGCAUUUUCAACUUACCGCCAUGAUCUGUGCAUCGAGAAUUCUUCGUCACUCUACAAAGCUCAGACAUACACAUCAUGCUACACAAAAAGACCGUGCUUUUCUUGUAUGUUGGUUUACCCAUCAUGCCAGGAUGGAUGCCAAUCAUAUAGAUGAUGUUCCGAGGUCCAGCCAACUUGAUCUUGGACCUGGAGACAAGUAUGGCACUUCAAUGUUUUCCACCAGAGGCUCUUCUUGUCAAAGUUUCCAGUCAAUCAAUCAGACACCGAUUUCAACUGUUAGAAUGGAGAAAGGAAAUAUUUUAAGGACAGCAAUAAAGGGUCAUUCCCCUGCAACGACCUCAGUAUAUAAAAAGAGCCAACAGCGGAACUUCAUCCGAUAUUAUUCUACAGAUUCAGGUCUUCCACCACACCAAGAGAUUGGGAUGCCUUCAUUAUCACCCACAAUGACCGAGGGAAAUAUUGCAAAGUGGAUGAAAAAAGAAGGAGAAAAACUUGCACCCGGAGAUGUACUGUGCGAAGUGGAAACUGAUAAAGCAUCGGUUGAAAUGGAAUGCAUGGAGGAAGGAUAUCUAGCAAAAAUAGUGCUCGGGGAUGGAUCAACUGGAAUUAAAGUUGGCGAGAUAAUUGCUGUAACAGUGGAGGAAGAGGAGGAUCUUGCCAAAUUUAAAGACUACUCUCCAUCAAUAUCAGAUGCUGCAGCUUCGUCCAAAGAACCCUCACCACCAACUCCAACCAAAGAAGAAAGUCCCGAAGAGGCAGCAACCAAUCCCACAGAGCGAUCAUCACCAGGGAACCGUAUUUUCACUGGCCCUCUCACCAGUAUGCUCGCAAAAGAUGAUAAGGUACACAUUUCAAAUACAAAAGGAACAAGUCAUGAUGGACGUGUUGCGAAGAUCGAUAUAAAAGAUAGUCCUGCUUCAGGUGGCAAAGAAGUUUCCCCUGCCCUAGACUACACAGACAUUCCACAGACUCAAAUUGGAAAGGUGACAGCAUCACGUCUGUUGCAAUCGAAACAAACCAUUCCACACUACUACUUAACUGUAGAUACAUGUGUCGACAAGCUAAUGGAACUGCGUAUCCAUCUGAAUUCGUUGCAAGAAGCUUCAGGUGGGAGAAGGAUAUCUAUCAAUGAUCUUGUCAUUAAGGCUGCUGCUAUGGCUCUUAGAGAGGUUCCUCAGUGCAAUAGUUCGUGGACCGAUGAUUAUAUUCGCCAGUACCGUAAUGUGAAUAUUAAUAUUGCUGUGCAAACAGACAACGGAUUGUGUGUGCCUGUAAUCAAGGAUGCUGACAAGAAAGGUCUAUCAAGAAUCGGUAAGGAAGUUAAGCAUUUAGCUGAGAAAGCAAGAGAGAACAGCUUGAAACCUGAAGAUUAUGAGGGAGGUACAUUCACCGUAUCAAACUUGGGAGGGUCUUUUGGCGUCGAGCAAUUCCGUGCAAUCGUCAACCCACCCCAAGCAGGCAUUCUAGCCGUUGGAUCUGCUGAAAGGAGGGUGAUACCUGGCUCAGGCCCCAAGCAAUACGAGUUUGCUUCGUUCAUGACUGCCACAUUAAGCUGUGACCAUCGUGUAGUUGAUGGUGCCAUUGGAGCAGAGUGGCUCAAGGCUUACAAAGGCUACAUCGAGAAUCCACAGUCUAUGUUGGUCUGAGUUGAACCACACUUGUUCGUUUCUUCGAAGCAUGAGGAUGUUAGUAAUAAAGCCAUAUGCUAUGUUUGUAGUUGUAGGCGUGGAUACAAGCAUGCGAGAGCUCCAUAUUUUCCCUAUCGAAUUAUGAUUCAUUUAGAGAGUUUGAGCUUUGAUGUCACAUUCAUCAGACGCACAAGCUCUGGCAAGACGACGGUUGCAAGGUCCGGUCGGUCCCGCCUCCUGAGCUCACUGCAUUGCAA